AUUGAACGCUGGCGGAAUGCUUUACACAUGCAAGUCGAGCGGCAGCGCGGGGCAACCUGGCGGCGAGCGGCGAACGGGUGAGUAAUGCAUCGGAACGUACCCAGUCGUGGGGGAUAACUGUCCGAAAGGACAGCUAAUACCGCAUACGUCCUGAGGGAGAAAGCGGGGGAUCGCAAGACCUCGCGCGAUUGGAGCGGCCGAUGCCGGAUUAGCUAGUUGGUAGGGUAAAGGCCUACCAAGGCGACGAUCCGUAGCUGGUCUGAGAGGACGACCAGCCACACUGGAACUGAGACACGGUCCAGACUCCUACGGGAGGCAGCAGUGGGGGAAUUUUGGACAAUGGGGGCAACCCUGAUCCAGCCAUUCCGCGUGAGUGAAGAAGGCC
rnacentral:rRNA from 1 species